UACGUAGGGCGCAAGCGUUAUCCGGAAUUAUUGGGCGUAAAGAGCUCGUAGGCGGUCUGUCACGUCGGCUGUGAAAUCCCGAGGCUCAACCUCGGGCCUGCAGUCGAUACGGGCAGACUAGAGUUCGGUAGGGGAGACUGGAAUUCCUGGUGUAGCGGUGAAAUGCGCAGAUAUCAGGAGGAACACCGGUGGCGAAGGCGGGUCUCUGGGCCGAAACUGACGCUGAGGAGCGAAAGCGUGGGGAGCGAACAGG
rnacentral:rRNA from 1 species